ensembl:misc_RNA 7SK 7SK RNA
GGAUGUGAGGGUGAUGUGGCUGUGACAUCUGUCUUCCCAUUGACGGACAGGGUUGAUUUGGCUGAUCUGGCUGGCUAGGCGGAUGUCCCUUUUCUCUCUCACCAGUUCAUGUGUGUUCCUCCCAAAGCUGUGUGCACUUGGUCUAAGAGGAUGACCUUCCCUGAUAGAGGAGGACAGUUCUUCAGUCAAGGGUAUAGAAAGAAGCAGGUGUGCUCCCCUGCUAGGACCUCCAAACAAGUUCUCAAGGUCCAUUUGUAGGAGAAUAAAGGGCAGUCAGGCUUCCAAGACUCCAGACACAUCCAAAUGAGGUGUUGCAUGCGGCAAUCUGCCUUUCUUU